CUGUUGACUUUUUUGGGUCUUUCUCUCUUUGGAUUGGUGUUGUCUCCCCGUCGCUGCUGGCUUGCUCGUACGAGCUUUUCCGUCCUGUUGCUCGUGCCGGUGGCCGUUGCUGCUUGUCAUCUUCUGUUCCUGAAUCGGUCGAGUGUGUUCGCUGACCGGAGGAGGAGCCGACGAUGAUGGGUGGGAUUUGCGCGCUGGUGGUCGGGGAUGCCGAGGAGGAUGAGACGGAGCUCUGCGCGAUCUGCGUCCACGUCAUGGUGCCCGGACGGCCAGUCCGCGUCCUCCCCGGAUGUACCCGCGCCUUCCACCACGACUGCGUCCACCGGUGGCGAACCAUCUCGUCGCGCUGCCUCGUCUGCAAUGCGUGGGUGACGCAGCGGUCGCAGGGACCUAACCGUCGCCAUCGCCCGCCCAGCCUGAUCUGAGUUCUUGGCAUGUCGGCGUUCCUACUUUCCUUAUAAUGGCUCAGCUCAUGGUUCUUGGUGAGGCACUGGGUAUACUUACUUGGUCGUAUUGGUUUAUGCCGUCUGCAUCAUCUGCUAGAGCUCAUCGUGCCGCAAUCCUUCGUGGUAGGAGUUCUUCCUCACGGCCAGCAUGUGAAUCAACACGAUCAACCGCUACCUCGUUCAAUUCUGGUCCUUCGUACCAGUCUUUGGUCAUUCGGAGGAAAAGGAAAUUGGCAAUCUUGCGUCGCCGGUUGUUUGCUUCACCAGGUUGGUUCUUUAGCCGUGUUUAGUUGCAAAAGUUUUCUUUAAACUUCAAACUUUUCCAUCACAUCAAAACUUUCCUACACACACAAACUUCAAACUUUUCCAUCACAUCGUUCCAAUUUCAAACAAACUUCUAAUUUUAGCGUGAACUAAACACACCCUAAUGGUCCAGGCAAUGAAUUGCUUAAGACCCCUGUACUGUAGCUCUGUUUAUCCGUACACAGUACUGCACAUGAAUAGAUGAUUGCCUCUGUUUUUUUUUUUGGUCGAAUGCACAGGAGGCCAGUAAUACAAUAUGCUUUUAGAUUUUUUUCUGGAAAAUAUUCUCAUUGUUUGCGAUACGUCUUAUAAGCUGACAAAUAAAUGAAGCAAUCAAAAUUGAUUUUAGGGUAAGUUCUUAUACUUCUAUAAAGAUUAAGGCCAGAAAAUAGAGAGGGAUCUUAGAUUUUGUCACAGUUGAUAUGAUACUUCACCCUGUGUGACAUUUUCAAUUGAGGAGUUGUAAAGAAUAUCUGCAACAAUAAUUUGGAAGUGAAUCAUGACAAGUAUUCUUCAUAUAAUUUACUAGCGUGAUUCUAUUUCUUUUUGCAAGAGAUCAGUGCUGCUAUUAAAUUCAGUCAAGAGUGUAUCAUUACCUUUCUAACAUUAAUAUUGCCCUUGGAUCAUAAGGCCACACCAUGAAUGCCUGCACUUUUGGUCUUUGAAAAUAUAUAUGUAUUGUUUUGAUGGUGAAGCUAGCUAUGGAGCAACAUGCACAGAUUAGACAAAAUGUAAAAGUGCUUGGGAAGACAUGUUGAAUACUGAGCAUGCAGAUGCAGUGACAUUCUGAAAGAGCAUUUGGCUAUAUACGAUUCAAAAAAAAAAGAUGCUACCGAAUUUUUUGGUGCAAACAUGCUUACAUGCUUGAAGAGCUGCGCUGAAGUGGUUUGAACAUGUUUGCAGACAAAAUUGUGGUUUGUAAUGAGCUCUUUCCACUUGUAAUCCUUUAUGGUGGAGAAGAAUGCCAAUCAGAGCAUCCACCUAAAUGAACACGCAUUUGAAAGUGUUUGUCCUUUUUGUUAAUAAAAAUUAUAGCCCAAUUCACAUUUUUA